CACGUAGGGCGCAAGCGUUGUCCGGAAUUAUUGGGCGUAAAGAGCUCGUAGGCGGUCUGUUGCGUCCGCUGUGAAAACCCGGGGCUUAACCCCUGGCUUGCAGUGGAUACGGACAGACUAGAGGUAGGUAGGGAAGAAUGGAAUUCCCGGUGUAGCGGUGAAAUGCGCAGAUAUCGGGAGGAACACCGGUGGCGAAGGCGGUUCUCUGGGCCUUACCUGACGCCGAGGAGCGAAAGCGUGGGGAGCGAACAGG
rnacentral:rRNA from 1 species